rnacentral:lncRNA from 1 species
UUAAAAUUCUAAUGAAUAUUAAUCAAAUCAUAAAUCAAAUCAGGAUAAAAUCUUAUUAAAAUCCUAAAUCUUAAUCAAAUCAGGAUAAAAUCUUAAUCAAAUCUUAAAUCUUAAUCAAAUCUUAAAUCUUAAUCAAAUCCUAAAUCCUAGACCAACUUUAAUAAAAUUCUAAAUCCUAAUCAAAUCCUAAUCAAAUAUUAAUACUAGACC